UACGUAGGGUGCAAGCGUUAAUCGGAAUUACUGGGCGUAAAGCGUGCGCAGGCGGUUAUGUAAGACAGUUGUGAAAUCCCCGGGCUCAACCUGGGAACUGCAUCUGUGACUGCAUAGCUAGAGUACGGUAGAGGGGGAUGGAAUUCCGCGUGUAGCAGUGAAAUGCGUAGAUAUGCGGAGGAACACCGAUGGCGAAGGCAAUCCCCUGGACCUGUACUGACGCUCAUGCACGAAAGCGUGGGUAGCAAACAGG
rnacentral:rRNA from 1 species